ACUCCUACGGGAGGCAGCAGUGGGGAAUAUUGCACAAUGGAGGGAACUCUGAUGCAGCGACGCCGCGUGAGCGAAGAAGGAAUUCGUUUCGUAAAGCUCUGUCCUAUGGGAAGAUAAUGACGGUACCAUAGAAGAAAGCCCCGGCUAACUACGUGCCAGCAGCCGCGGUAAUACGUAGGGGGCGAGCGUUGUCCGGAAUUAUUGGGCGUAAAGGGUUCGUAGGCGGUAAUACAUGUCAGAUGUGAAAUCUUGUGGCUUAACCACAUCAAGCAUCUGAAACUGUAUAACUUGAGUGGAGGAGAGGUAAGUGGAAUUCCUAGUGUAGCGGUGAAAUGCGUAGAUAUUAGGAAGAAUACCAGUAGCGAAGGCGACUUACUGGCCUCUAACUGACGCUGAUGAACGAAAGCGUGGGUAGCAAACAGGAUUAGAUACCCUGGUAGUC
rnacentral:rRNA from 1 species